UACGUAUGUCCCGAGCGUUAUCCGGAUUUAUUGGGCGUAAAGCGAGCGCAGACGGUUUAUUAAGUCUGAUGUGAAAGCCCGGAGCUCAACUCCGGAAUGGCAUUGGAAACUGGUUAACUUGAGUGCAGUAGAGGUAAGUGGAACUCCAUGUGUAGCGGUGGAAUGCGUAGAUAUAUGGAAGAACACCAGUGGCGAAGGCGGCUUACUGGACUGCAACUGACGUUGAGGCUCGAAAGUGUGGGUAG
rnacentral:rRNA from 1 species